CCUGACGCCCAGCCCAAAGAAAUCAAGACAGUCAUGGAAAUUGUGCUAGAUGUGCUUUAGAGUGCCUGUCCUGCCCACAGCCCUGUUUUAGAUAAAAUGCCCAGCCGCAGCACCUGCUGAGUGAUCAUCAGCUCACAGAUUCAACUGCUGCCAUCACAGAGGAUUGGCCCAGGAGGGCGACCAUCUAACUAGAGGACACCUAAGGCCUGCUGACCUUUAACCUCCCUGACCUAAUUUGCGAAAGUUAACUAGGCUAAUCUGGUACCCUCUGGGAAGAACUUGCCUUAAAAAUUCAGAGGAAAGUUGGUGGUAUUGUUUGACUGAAAGGUCUUGCAGUCUGGGACUGAGAUGGACACUAGCAAAGGAUUCACGUGCAAGGUCUCGGCCACCCUGCGGGGCAGCGGUUCCCCGUGUGCUGACCCAGCGUUCCAGCCUCCUUCAAUCAGACGAGCAGACAGCACCCACUUCAGCGCGUGCUCUCACCAUCACCAGCUGGGAAGGGGAGCCCUCGAGAGCCAAGCUCCAGCAAUGAAGCACUGCUGCCUGGAAGUCAUCCUCAUGAAAGACCACACUCACAUCGCAUUGGCCGGACUCCUCAGUUGGCCACACCUCAUUUCAAGAGGGACAGAUCCUCCCACAUGUCCAAAAUUAGAGAGAGACCAAAUAUUUAUGAAGGACAGUAAUGCCAAUUAGAUUUCUAAGUAACCCAUCUAACCCUGUGGGACUUCCAUGCGACUGUUCGACACCCAGUGACUAGGGCAUGUGUCUUAUUUCUGUCUUACCUGCAGAGAUCCUCCUGCAUGACUGUGGCUCCUGAUCUCCUUGUCUUGAACCUCUCCUUCCAUCCCUCUCGCACAGCCUCCACUGGACCGAAGCCAAUACGCUCCACUUGGGCCACUUUGGAUGUUACGAUGACUUCCCUGGGUCUUGCGGUCCUUCACCCGAUUCCUCGCAUUGCUACUGCUGCUUGGAGUCUUGCUGGCUCUCUCUUAGGCCAAGCCUUGGCCCCCUCACUCUCAGCACUCUGGUGCCUCUGGAGAUGGGCAGUGUGGGGCAAUGGUUGAUGCUUAUUAAUAUUACGCAAACCGGACUGGAAAAAAACGCCCUUUUAAUGUGUCUUAGCUAAGCUAGAAGCACUGUUCUUUUCUAAUUUGCAAAGAUGUGAGCAGAUUACCUGGAAAAACGAAUAUACCUAUGUGUAGAUACAAUGCAUAUAUAGUUUAUUUUUGUGAGUCUCUGCCUAGCUAGGAAGUUAAUGUGACAAGCUUCACAAUAUGCAAACUUAUUAUACUGCAGAAAUACCAAGCAGUUCUGUGAAAGCCAUGUUUUGGUACUAUUUUGACACAGCAAAACACACUUUUCCUCUUCUUACUUUGUCAGGCCUAUAGUGUGAUGGGUAGUCUUUUGUGUCAACCUUACUAGGCUAUAAUACCCAGUUAUUUAACCAAACACUAGUCUAGUUGUUGCUGUGAAGGUAUUCUGUAGAUGUGGUUAAGAUCUACAACCAAUUGACUUUAAGUAAGGAGAUUCCCCUCAAUAAUGUAGAUGGGCC
rnacentral:lncRNA from 1 species